rnacentral:rRNA from 1 species
GUGGGGAAUAUUGGACAAUGGGGGGAACCCUGAUCCAGCCAUGCCGCGUGUGUGAAGAAGGCCUUUUGGUUGUAAAGCACUUUAAGUGGGGAGGAGGCUUACCUGGUUAAUACCUGGGCUAAGUGGACGUUACCCACAGAAUAAGCACCGGCUAACUCUGUGCCAGCAGCCGCGGUAAUACAGAGGGUGCGAGCGUUAAUCGGAUUUACUGGGCGGAAAGCGCGCGUAGGUGGUUAAUUAAGUCAAAUGUGAAAUCCCCGAGCUUAACUUGGGAAUUGCAUUCGAUACUGGUUAGCUAGAGUAUGGGAGAGGAUGGUAGAAUUCCAGGUGUAGCGGUGAAAUGCGUAGAGAUCUGGAGGAAUACCGAUGGCGAAGGCAGCCAUCUGGCCUAAUACUGACACUGAGGUGCGAAAGCAUGGGGAGCAAACAGGAUUAGAUACCCGAGUAGUCC